rnacentral:rRNA from 1 species
UACGAAGGGUGCAAGCGUUACUCGGAAUUACUGGGCGUAAAGCGUACGUAGGCGGCUUUGUAAGUUAGAGGUGAAAGCCCGGGGCUCAACUCCGGAAUUGCCUUUAAGACUGCAUCGCUUGAAUCAUGGAGAGGUGAGUGGAAUUCCGAGUGUAGAGGUGAAAUUCGUAGAUAUUCGGAAGAACACCAGUGGCGAAGGCGACUCACUGGACAUGUAUUGACGCUGAGGUACGAAAGCGUGGGGAGCAAACAGG